GACGAACGCUGGCGGCGUGCUUAAUACAUGCAAGUCGAACGGAAAGGCGCGGCGCUUGCGGGUCGCUCGUUAGGCGAACGCGUGAGUAACACGUGAGUAACCUGUCCCUGACAGUGGGAUAACUCCAGGAAACAGGGGCGCUAACCGGAUAGGAGCUCUUGCUGCAUGGGGGGGGAUGGAGAGAUACGGCGGUUCGGGCUGUACUCGCAGCUUACGCGCCGCUUGGGGGGGUAGUGGAGUACCAAGGGUUUGACGGGUAGCCGGCCUGGGAGGGUGACCGGCCACAUUGCGACUGAGGUACGGCCCAGACUGCUACGGGAGGCAGCGGUGGAGAAUAUUGCGGAAUGGGCGGACGCCAGAUGCAGCGACGCCGCGUGCGGGAUGACGGCCUACGGGUUGUAAACCGCUUUCGCCUGUGCCGAAGCCUGAGUGACGGUAAUGAGUAAGGAAGCCCCGGCUAACUACGUG
rnacentral:rRNA from 1 species